GCAUCACAAACCCCGGCUAGUCACCCUUGGAUCUGAGCAGCGUUAUUGCCCUUGCUCAUCCCCGUUAACACCUGUUUUGAUUCAUGGCAUUUUGUUCUGGUCCAAGGAGUCCUUUGAAAACGUUUGUUCGUGCCUGAUCCUUGCAUCUUACCCAAAAGCACAGUGCAUCAAGCUCAUUUUCAUUUAGUAAAUCAGGGCAUAAAAGCUUAAUGUGUCUCCCACCUUUAGCUCCCAACUUAAGCUACUGAUCAAAUACAUUCUUAUUAGCUGGAACAGUGACUAUCUUCACUAGGAAACUGAAGUAGGUUCUUAACUCAGUAAGACCCUUGCAGAGAUAGGAAAUAGGGUGCUUUAGUUAUUUCUGUAAGGCAAGUUUAAUCACAGACAGAGUAAAAACUAAACUACCUUACUCCAGCAGAAUUUUCCAGCAGGACAGCUAGCACAAGGUGGUAUCCCACUUUUUUUUUUUUUUUUUUUAAGGAAAGCAGAGCCUUUGUAAUGAAGAUGAUCUUGUUGUCAUUGCAAUAUCACAAGAACUUCUUACUUUGCAAUAUCCUGUCAUGAUUUCAUAUGCAACUAUGCAUGAUUUUUUUUCUGGGAAUCUUUCAUCUGCAGUGUAAUGGAGUCGUCAACCCUGCUUUCCAAGUGCCUGACAUAGCAUUCAGGUUAUGAUUGUGCUGUCAAGCACAGAAAUAAAUCUCAUGGUCAGCUUCCCAAUCAAAUUUAUAACUCAGUUAUCUUCAGUUCACUCAGACAGUAUUGUAGCAAGUAUUUAAAAAAGUAAAAAGAGCAAGAGAGAGAGGGAAAGAGAUGAACUGGAUAGGAUAAGAUGCAAAUACGCUCGCUCACUCGCUUGUUCACUCUUUAUAAUUAUUUUCUAGAGAAAAAUAAUCCUUGAUUUAGCUAUAGGUACCAGAAAACAGUUCCCUUCCAGAGCACUGGGAGAAACAGCAAGUUAAUGCUAUUGACACGCAUACGCCUUCAUAGUGGAAGAUGCAGAUUGGUGGUUUGGGUGUACAGUUUCAGCUCUAACUGGUCUCUGAUACUCUGGAGGAAGUCUUGGGGAGAGGGAGGAUGCAGAAACAGAAUACGUUUGGUUGAUUCAGGAGGAAAAAAUAUUUCUGAGCCCUGCAGGCAACUGAUGAGAUCCUAAAGUCAUGACCAGGUGCCUCUUUAAAUAUUGUACAUAUCAACACAACGAAUUACUAUGUUUUAAUACAAUGCACACCUUUUUAAAACUGCUGGAAAAUGGAGUGCACAUUAUAUGCAAGGAAAGAUGGUAACACUAAUUUCUCUACUUAAAUAUCAGCAGGGCAAAAGCAAAAUAAGAUCUGCGUGGAAUCCACAGGAAGCAGGACUAUGAGCAGGCUCAGCUCCCUCACUGCUGCUACUCAGUAACUACAAAGACUGUAAUACCUUGUUCUGGGGCAUGUUGUACGUGAGACUAUAUGGUAGCACCCUAAAAUAAUAACAGCGGCCUGUUUCAACCUUGCCUGUAGCAAGGGCUCCUGCAGCAGCACCGUAUUGUUGCUUUUCUGCUGGCGUUUUGUGCGUUGGGGAUGUGACAUAAUGGGUACUUGUUUGUGUGCCUCCAAAGGAAACGAGUUCUUGGCAAAAACAGCAUGUUUUGCAAAAGCCCUGAGCCAUCAUUCUGACACCACAUGAGUGUUGUGACAUCCCCAGCAUGAGGAGGAAGAGAUGCAGCCGCUUCUUGGAAAAAGCUGCUGGGUUGGCAAAGGGAAGCUCUGACAUGAAUUUUUCUCUCUGGUGCAACAGUGUUUGUUGUAAUCAGCACACAAGACAUGACCAAUAGUCUGUGGGGUGGGAGCAGGGCAUCACUGUUUCCUGGAGGGACAGACUUGUCUCUAAUCUCCUAAAACCGCUAGGGUAACAGCUGGACCCGGCGAGCCUCACUACAGUGUCUUACUAGCUCUGUCCUCUUCUAAGCUACAUGCACUUUGUAUCUGGCAAUGAGGUAGAAAUUCCCACCCGGGGAUCUCUGCAACUCGAGUGGCUUUUCAUUGCUUACUAUGUUGCAAUCAAAGCUGUGCUCCCUGCUUUGAGUUGUGACAUGUUCAUUGUCCCUCUUCACUGAGGUGCCCUGUUAGCCUCUCCGCUUCCCCUGUCAGGUCCCCCCACACACCAGGAAAGCU
ensembl:lncRNA